UAUUUCAAUAAAACAAGGGAAACAGUGUAGUAUAAUAAAAGGAACAUUAUUAGCCUUAUAUGCAGCCUGGUAGACCUGAGUUUAAAUCUCAGCUUUGUUGCUCACUGAGAUGUUGAGCAAGUCACUUUUAAACUCUCUGGGUCUCAGUUUCUUCACGUGGAGACAAUAGCUAUCUUUGAAGGCUUGUAUCAAAAGAGAUGCUGUCAGUCAGUCACCCGGAACCUAUUAGGUACUCAACAAAGAUUGGUUUCCUUUCCUUCUUCCUCUCCUCCGAGCUUCCUGACUUGCAGAAAAUAAUUUCUUGGUCAAUGUUUGUAAAAGGCUCAAAAAUUCACCCAAACUUUCCAAACAACCCUUUAACAAGCUUCCCCAUAAAAGCAUCUAGAACAGAGGCUUCAUUUGCUGUAACCAGCCUAAGGAUUUGGCAAUAGAGAAGUUAACCGAGUACCAUGUUUUCGAGCAAUGGUUUUAAAGUGGCUAGGAGGUCAAGUCACAAAUAAUCUAAGGUCUCUUCCAGCUCUAAAAUUCUAUGGUUCUGUGAAAUUGAGGCAGUAGCUGCAAACCAAGGCAGGCUUGUAUGACUCAAAGAAUUGCAUGUGCUGGGCUGGCUGCUCAGCAUAUUGAGGAUUUGAUUAAAAACUCACUACAUUCACACUUUAGCUUUGGGAUUAGCAGAUCAAAUAAAUGCAUGUUACUGCUUUGUCAGAUACAGCAAAGUCGUUUUUGUCUGCUAGCAUAUUUAAUGGGGGGAAUACACAAUAGCUAAAUAGAAUAGCAAACAAACAGUCCAUGGAGAGGAGAACAGGGUGUCAUCACCAGCCCAGUUCCCUGACCUCUUCAUUGCUGAUCGACAUGGUCUAUGUGAGAAAAUUUAGCUAUAUGUAAAUGUAGACAACUUGGUGAAAAAUCUAUAAGGGUAUCUAAUUCUGAAACUAAGAACUUUCAAGAAAAUCCGAACAAGAAUGCUUAGGUAAAAUUGAUUUUAAUUUCUCUGAGAUCUCAUUAAUUUCCAUUUAGAUGGAUUUUUAAAAAUUAAGUUGUAGGGCACUUGGUUUUGCAAUGCUAAGCAUUGUUUGACACAACUUAUUUUUAGCGUCUAUUUUAACAAGAGAAAUGAAAUGUAACCACUCCAGGAUAUGGAAAUACCUCUUGUAAGGAGUGUGUGGUGUGUGUGUGUGUGUGUUUGUGUGUGUGCAUGUGUGUAUGCCUGUGUGUUUUCUUCGAGAAGAUCAUUUUUUUCCCCCUCUGCUUUGGGAGUUUAUUCUAUUAAUAGAAAAUACUGCAAGUUUUAAAUAUCUUUUCAUUCAGUGGAAACAUGGAUUCAAUCCAGUGGAAACAUGGAUUCAAUCAUCCUUCCUUUUCACACUGGGAGUCAGGGAGAGAGCCUGGGUAAUUAAGUAACAAGAGCACAGAUUCCUAAAGACACUUAACAAACAAGAUAUUCUUGCCUAGAGGAGUAACAGUUACAAUGACUGCUGCAAAGACAAACAUGUUUUCAGUACCUACUAUGUGCCAGGUUCUGGCUUUGACACUUGUGAAGGGGUUAAAAUCCUGGUGCUGUAUAAAUGUCCCCAGAUGAUAUUCUAAUUUAAGGAAGAAACAAUAUAUAUUUAGGAUAAAGUGGAGUCUCCUACUCAAACCUGAGCAGGUAAGAGAUCUAAAUUAGGUUAAGCAGCACCGAAGAGUAUUCAAAAUUAGUGAGAAUGGCACUUACUUAAUUGUAUCUGAAUUUUUAUCUUUUGGAAUAUUCACUCAUUCAGCAAAUUUUUAUAGAGUGACUACUGAAGAAGAACCGUGAGAGUAUAAACAAGCGACUAAAAUGUUUCUGUUUUUCAUUACAGUCUAGAAGGGCAGAAUAUAUAUUCUUGCUUUAAUUGAAUGCUGUAUAUAAUUAUUAAUGUUAUAAUUUUUACAACUAAAUUUUCAUAGAUAUGUAUCUAAAAAAACUACUUGAUUUUAUGUAAGAAAGCUACUUGAUAAUUUCAACCAUACAAAAAUAAAACCACCAAAAUAUAAAAUAUCAAUCAAUCAGUCAAAGUGGAAGUAGAAAAAAAAACUGCAAGAGUGUGCACUAAAAUAUUCAUAGUAAUAUUUUUGUGAUGGUGGAAACAUGGUAAUUUGGGUUUUCAUUCUUUUUUUCUUAUUUUUUAAGUCUAAACCUAAAUUUUUUAAUACUUUCAUUAUUUAAAAUAUGAUAAUCAUUAAGAAGACAGAGAUGAAGAAAAGAAGGAAGUGGAGGCAAUGAGGAACAGAGAGAAGGAAGGAAGGAAAUCAUGCUUGAAAGAAGUUGUGGAACAUGUCAAGUUUUUUUCCGGAUGUGGCGGAGAUUAUUCAGCUACAAUGAAGCCAGAUUAAGAUUUCGGGAAAAUGAACAGAUCUCUACAAUGUUCUCCAAAGAGAUUGUUUUGCUUGCCAAUAAAAAGAGACACCUGGGAGCACCAUACUCUCUCCUAUUCCUCUGGGUAUCAUAUUUCCUUAUGACACCUGAAACUCUGAUGCCUUCUGGGUCCAUGAAAGCAGUGAGAUGAGCACAGGAAACCACGCUGAGGAUGGUUGAGCAAAAAGGUUACAUUGAGCCACUGGAUUAACCUGCCCAGAAACAGGAUAUCUUCAGAUUUCUUGUUAAGUAAGAAAAUGUAAUUUUGUUGAUUCUAAGUUACACUUUCUUUUGUUAGUUCAACAUCUCUGAAAUCAGAACAUAUUUUGCCAUGGUAAUAUCUUACCAUCACUGUUGGCCAGAGGCCAUCCUUGCAUAGGUGUCAUUGCCUAUGCAUGUGUCAACUUGAUUGCUAUUCUCUGUGAUAUGACUGACAACUGCAGCCCUUUGACAGUUCAGUCGACAAACCAUUGAAGAUUAUUAGGGUAAGAAAUACUGCUUUCUGUCUGAAAACUUUCCAGUGACAUCUUCUGAAAAGACAAAGAAAGUAUCAGCAUCAAAAUUUGCAUAAUAGUCUGUGCUUAGAAAGAAAUCCAAGUGGCAAUAGUAGGUCAAUCUUUUAAGAAAUGUUGCAUCACCAAUACUUUUGAUAUUACAGAGGAUGAUAUUGGGAGGAAAAAGCAUGAAUAUUUAUGGCUCUGAAUUUUAAAAGUGAGUUUGAAGAGUCAGACUCUGAAAGUGAAGACAUUUUAAAACCA